rnacentral:pre_miRNA from 1 species
AGCCUGCUGGGAGCGAAAUUGAGAAAGGACAGCGCCAGCCCAGGCAAUUUCACUCACAGCGGGCACU